UGAAGAACGUAGUGAAAUGCGAUAAGUAAUGUGAAUUGCAGAAUUCAGUGAAUCAUCGAAUCUUUGAACGCACAUUGCGCCCGCCAGAAUUCUGGCGGGCAUGCCUGUUCGAGCGUCAUUUCAACCCUCGGUCUCCCUCCGGGAGAGACCGGCGUUGGGGACCGGCACUUACCCCGCCGGCCCCGAAAUGAAGUGGCGGCCCGUCCGCGGCGACCUCUGCGUAGUAACUCCACUCGCACCGGGACCCGGGCGCGGCCACGCCGUAAAACCCCCAACUUCCGAAUGUUGACCUCGAAUCAGGUAGGAAUACCCGCUGAACUUAAGCAUAUCAAUAAGCGGAGGA
rnacentral:misc_RNA from 1 species